GCGACAGAUCUGACCUCACCAAGGGGCGCGCUGAAGUUACCAGCGCUUGCAUGUAGGCUCCCUAACCGCGACUAGAGCUUCCAGGGGCUUUAACCGCGAGCGAUUCAAAGGGCCAUGCUCAUGGUUCGCAAGCGUUCGCUCGCCGGUGCUCAUGGUUCUCUUCCCAAGUUCUAUUGAGUCUACAUAGCGUGUGCACCGCUCGUGGCUCUUUUGGUUACGUUCAAGCCUUGACCAGCGCCUGCAGAUACGGUGCAGUUCCUUACGGGCACAUGUUGGAACGGAAAUAAAGAGUUCAACGGUGGCUAAGCAGCCAUAUUUUUCAACAGUUGUGUGCUCAUCAAUCAAACUUAAGUUAUUUUACUCUCACGGAACCACAAGGCCUGCUGGCUUCCAUUGUUUUUGUCUAGUCAAGAGCAAACUUCUGUGGGCAGCCAGUGGUAUCCAAGAGGGAAGGGACCUGGAUUGCUGUGGUUACUGCAGCUGCGUCUUAUUUUAUGUGGUCACCUUUUCUACUGUAUUUAAAAAUUUUGUAAAAUCAUUCUGCGUGUCCUUUAAUUUAUUAGUCAAUAAAGCCGCUUUCUCACAAG